UAAUCAUAAAUGAAAAAGUUUAUAUUUAAUGGUUUUGUCCUUGCGGACUUUAUAGUAGAACUGGAAAGAAAAUUAAGUAAGCCUUUGCAUUGUUUUAUUUUUGAUGAGUAUAGGGUACCAAGAGUUUUUAUAACCAGCAUAUUGAUUUGUCACUCUGUUUGAGCUCGGGAAAGUUUUUCUCCCCAAUGAGGUGGUUUUGAGGAAUUUAAAAAUGAAAUUAUUUUUGUAAAUCUUUAGUCAGUGUCUGACACAAAAUCACCAUACAGCAAAUGUUACCUAGCAUUAACAUGUUUAAUUAAGAUGAGAUCUAAAAGAUCUAAAUCCGGUAGAACUUAAAUGACAAAGAUAAGAGGAAAGGUGAUUCAGGAAAAUGCAACAG